CGGGUGAGUAACACGUAUGGAACCUGCCCUAUGCAGGGGGAUAAGCGGAAGAAAUUCCGUCUAAUACCGCAUAACACCAUUUGGAGACAUCUCCAGGUGGUCAAAGGAGGCGACUCCGGCAUAGGAUGGCCAUGCGUCGCAUUAGCUAGUCGGCGGGGUAACGGCCCACCGAGGCGAUGAUGCGUAGGGGUUCUGAGAGGAAGGUCCCCCACACUGGUACUGAGACACGGACCAGACUCCUACGGGAGGCAGCAG
rnacentral:rRNA from 1 species